UACAGAGGGUGCGAGCGUUAAUCGGAAUUACUGGGCGUAAAGCGUGCGCAGGCGGUUUUGUAAGUCUGUCGUGAAAAUCCCCGGGCUCAACCUGGGAAUUGCGAUGGAGACUGCAAGGCUAGAAUCUGGCAGAGGGGGGUAGAAUUCCACGUGUAGCAGUGAAAUGCGUAGAGAUGUGGAGGAACACCGAUGGCGAAGGCAGCCCCCCUGGGUCAAGAUUGACGCUCAUGCACGAAAGCGUGGGGGAGCAAACAGG
rnacentral:rRNA from 1 species